CCUCAAAAAAAAAAUGUUAGAUAUACAUAGAGCAUUGCCCGAUAGAUCAAAGCGUCUCCUGCUUCUCCUCCUCGGCGGUGGACCUAACAGCCAGUAGACCCGAUCCGCAAGGCCUGCGACGAUGGCGGCUUCCCUUCGGGCUGCGGCGACGAGGAUCCUGCGUCCGGCUGGGCAUGGGCUUCGCCGACUCGGCCACACCCAGGAAGUAUCUUGACCUCCGUUACAUCUCCAGCUCGCUAUUUUAUCUAUGGCCUGAUGCCUGAUUCUUGCUCUGAUUGGUGGAGGCCCUUCCUUCUGCUCGACUUGCUAUUCUAUAUUAUAGUAUCAUCAUAGCAUUCCGGAUCCACCCGUGCCUUGGAGGAAGGGUACCCUACAGUGCAAAUCCAACAGAAGAAGGAGGAGCUCUACGAUCUCAUCGCCGAUGCCUAUGCCAAUUCCGAGACUUCCCAGGCUGAUAGAUAUGUGCUCAAGGUUCUCUCCACACAAAUCAAGCCGAGGCCACGGGACCCUCAGUGGUGUGAGAUAACUACAAUCAAGAAGGCGGGCGAGUGGUUUCUGGGAGGGUUUUAUUUUGUUGGUGGUAUCAUAAUUCUUAGUGGGCUUGCUCAGGGUGUGCGUAAGCGGGCGGAGCUCGAGAUGCCCAAGCCUGUGGAGCCGCGCAGAAUCAAAAAGAAACUGCAGAAGCAAGUCGAGUGAAGACGAAAUGCAUCUUGUUUGAUGGAGAAGCAAGGCGGAUAUUAGUUCUUCUCCAACACUCUCUUAUUCAGGCCUCUUAAACUAUGGCAAAUCGUUAGGAUUUAUCAUUUCUGUGAACUAUAUAUAUAUAUGUCUAUGAUGUGCCACCUAUGAGUGGAGUAGUAUUAUUACUGGAUGAUCUGUGAUCGCAUUGUAAGAUAUUUUGUGAUG